AAGGUGGGGAUGACGUCAAAUCAUCAUGCCCCUUAUGACCUGGGCUACACACGUGCUACAAUGGUGGUACAAGGGUCGCGAACCCGCGAGGGGGAGCCAAUCCCAAAAAGCCGCUCUCAGUUCGGAUUGCAGGCUGCAACUCGCCUGCAUGAAGCCGGAAUCGCUAGUAAUCGCGGAUCAGCAUGCCGCGGUGAAUACGUUCCCGGGCCUU
rnacentral:rRNA from 1 species